GACUGGCUAGCUCAGUCGGUAGAGCAUGAGACACUUAAUCUCAGGGUCGUGGGUUCGAGCCCCACAUUGGGUGAAACU